rnacentral:lncRNA from 1 species
CUUUAAUAAUAUUUAAUGACUAUCUUCCUUAUCACACAUGCUCCUGCAACUUCCAUUUUUAAGGGCUUUUUGGUAUUCCAGCAAAUAGGUCUGCCAUAAUUAGUUUUUCUUUUUUGAGACGGAGUCUUGCUCUGUCACCAGGCUGGAGUGCAGUGGCGCGAUCUCGGCUCACUGCAACCUCUGCCUCCUGGGUUCAAGCGAUUCUCCUGCCUCAGCCUCCUGAGUAGCUGGGACUACAGGUGCGCACCACCAUGCCCAGCCAAUUUUUGUAUUUUUAGUAGAGAUGGGGUUUCACCAUGUUGGCCAGGAUGGUCUCGAUCUCUUGAUCUCGUGAUCCACCUGCCUCGGCCUCCCAAAGUGCUGGGAUUACAGGUGUGAGCCACCGCGCCCGGCCUAUGAUUAGUUUUUUAAAAAGACCUGCUGGAAAACUUUUAAGUUGAUUUUUAUAUUUUCAUUAUUAUAAACAAGCAUUCUGUAAAUAACUCUCAUUAUAUAUCCAUGAUGAUUUUCUGAGGAUCAAUGUCUGGAAGUGGUAAAAUAGACUGCAAAGUUUUAAAAAGUUUUUUUCACUAUGAAUUGUCAAAUUGUCCUCCAGAAAAUUUGUGCUAAUUCAUGAAAAUUCUUUAGCAAUCACUUAUUUUUUUUUAAAGAAGCAAUUCUUUGCAAUGAGACUUCUUAAAAGGAUAUGUCUGUCUUUGUAUGAUUUUAAAAUGCAGUAUGUGAAUAGGGGUAACAAGAGUUCAACUAAAAGUUAACUGACUUUAGGUAGAUCCCAUGAGAGCUAAAUGUUUUUCAAUUUUAAAUGAAUAGUGAUAAGUAUUUAGUGUUCAACGUUUGGAUAAUAUCAGUUAUUAGGAAAUUGAAGUUGUGAGGAUGAAGAGAAAAAUCCCGGAGUUUUUUCCAUUAACAAUUCUCCCAGAUAUUAGCAUUUGGUUAAACCAAGCACUUAAAGGAGUCCGGGAUCGCCAUGGGAACUCAAUAGAAAAUCCUCAUCUUCUCACUUUGUUUCAUCGGCUCUGCAAACUCUUAUUUUUUCGAAUUCGUCCUAUUUUUGUGUUUGAUGGGGAUGCUCCACUAUUGAAGAAACAGACUUUGGUGAAGAGAAGGCAGAGAAAGGACUUAGCGUCCAGUGACUCCAGGAAAACGACAGAGAAGCUUCUGAAAACAUUUUUGAAAAGACAAGCCAUCAAAACUGCCUUCAGAAGCAAAAGGCAAGAGGAAAAUUAUAGUCGUGUUAGAGAUGAAGUUUUAAAAAAGUGAUUUUUGUCUUGAUUUCCUGCGAUUCUCUUUCCCUAUCUAAUUUUGACUCUCAACAGAAAAUAGAGAGUGAAAUGAGACAAGUAGGCUGCCAUUUUGACCUGGUAAUUUGGAGUUGUGGCAAUUCUCCGUUCUGUGAGAAUCAACUUUGCUAAUGAGAAAAAAAAGCUGUCGUGUUGCGUCAUGUACACUUUUUACUUUGAUUAUGGUCUUCUUGACUCUAGGUGAGCAGCCCCGCCAAGGUUCCUUCCUUUCUCUCGGCUGCAUUUAUUUUCCACAGCAGUGGCCUGAGAGCAGCCAGGUCAGGUCCCUGUUCACCAUCCUGAGCAGGGUCUGCAUAAUCUGUUUAAAGAUUUGUGUACUUUCCAGAGAUGAAGCACUACCCAGUCUUACCCAAGUUCGAAGAGAAAACGACCUCUAUGUUUUGCCUCCUUUACAAGAGGAAGAAAAACACAGUUCAGAAGAGGAAGAUG